CUUACCUACGGGAGGCAGCAGUGGGGAAUAUUGGGCAAUGGGCGCAAGCCUGACCCAGCGACGCCGCGUGAAGGAAGAAGGCUUUCGGGUUGUAAACUUCUUUUCUCAGGGACGAAGAAAGUGACGGUACCUGACUAAGAAGCCCCGGCUAACUACGUGCCAGCAGCCGCGGUAAUACGUAGGGGGCAAGCGUUAUCCGGAUUUACUGGGUGUAAAGGGAGCGUAGGCGGCAAGGUAAGCCAGAAGUGAAAGCCCGCGGCUCAACUGCGGGACUGCUUUUGGAACUAUCUAGCUAGAUUGCAGGA
rnacentral:rRNA from 1 species